rnacentral:misc_RNA from 1 species
UUGUUGCCUCUGGGGAUGCUGCUUAUGAUACAAAAAAUCUUCAGGAGUGCAUAGGAUCAGCUGUUAUUGCUAUGGGACCAGAGAAACUGCUUGCCCUGUUACCCAUCUCCCUGAAUACAAACGAUUACUCUUUUACAAACAGUUGGUUGGUUCCUGUUUUAAAUAAAUAUAUAUGUGGAUCAUCACUUGAGUUCUUUAUGG